rnacentral:rRNA from 1 species
UACGGAGGGUGCAAGCGUUGUUCGGAAUCACUGGGCGUAAAGAGCACGUAGGCGGAUUCGUGUGUCGGAUGUGAAAUCCCCGGGCUUAACCUGGGAAUUGCAUUCGAAACUGCGAACCUUGAAUGUCUGAGAGGAUGACGGAAUUCCUGGUGUAGAAGUGAAAUUCGUAGAUAUCAGGAGGAACACCGGAGGCGAAGGCGGUUGUCUGGCGGUGCAUUGACGCUGAGGUGCGAAAGCGUGGGGAGCAAACAGG